UCGGACCGAAAACUGGUAAAACCGGAAUACCGGUUUAGGAGGAUAAUCGGUGCGUAAUCAGUUUUGAAAAAUGUAAAACCGGUACCUACUACUUCGAUCUUAGAUUUUGUCUAAAACCGAAUCGAACCAGAUCAGUUACACCCCUAGAAAACAUGAUCAUUUCUGGGUUGCAUAAUUUUCAGUGAAAAUAAAAGACAAAGUUCUAUUCAAAUGGACUGAGACAACCAUUACCGAGGAAAAUUAGGUGGAGCCGGGAAACAGUAUCCAUGCACGCAGAUGCCGCCUUUUUGCCAGAGAAGCAGCGGAUUGCAGAAGUAUCCAAACUUAGACAGAUGAGUUGUAGUUGUCAAAUGAAGUACCUCCCUAUCACUGCCACGACCCGCUCUCCGUUAUAUUCGAUGUUAUUGCAUCUGUACUGCAAUGCAACUUUGAUGGUGCACCUUGAAUGGGUCCAAACAAAGAAAAGAUUGCUCUGCCCAACAAAAUCAGAUUUGAGCUGAUUGAUGAACAAUCCCAUGAGCUGACAAUCCUCUCACAUUUGGACAUGUAUUGUGGCUGUUUAUAUUUGCGUUAUUUCCAAUUAUUGGAUGUCUAGAGGUGACAAA